GACGAACGCUGGCGGCGUGCUUAACACAUGCAAGUCGAACGGUGAAGCGCCUUCCUUUUUGGUGGGUGUGGAUGAGUGGCGAACGGGUGAGUAACACGUGAGUAACCUGCCCCCUUCUUCUGGAUAACCGCAUGAAAGUGUGGCCAAUAUGGGAUAUUCUGGGUCUGUCGCAUGAUGGGUCUGGGAAAGAUAUUGUUUCGGUGGGGGAUGGGCUCGCGGCCUAUCAGCUUGUUGGUGGGGUGAUGGCCUACCAAGGCGGUGACGGGUAGCCGGCCUGAGAGGGUGGACGGUCACACUGGGACUGAGACACGGCCCAGACUCCUACGGGAGGCAGCAGUGGGGAAUAUUGCACAAUGGGCGCAAGCCUGAUGCAGCGACGCCGCGUGAGGGAUGGAGGCCUUCGGGUUGUGAACCUCUUUCGCCAGUGAAGCAGGCCUGCCUCGUUUGUGGGUGGGUUGACGGUAGCUGGAUAAGAAGCGCCGGCUAACUACGUG
rnacentral:rRNA from 1 species